CGCGGGGUGGAGCAGUCUGGUAGCUCGUCGGGCUCAUAACCCGAAGGCCGGUGGUUCAAAUCCACCUCCCGCCACCA
rnacentral:tRNA from 1 species